UACGUAGGGGGCAAGCGUUGUUCGGAAUUACUGGGCGUAAAGGGCGCGUAGGCGGCUCGGUAAGUCGGGAGUGAAAGCCCGGGGCUCAACCCCGGAACGGGCUCUCGAAACUGCCGCGGCUUGAGUGCGGAAGAGGCAACCGGAAUUCCCAGUGUAGCGGUGAAAUGCGUAGAUAUUGGGAAGAACACCUGAGGCGAAGGCGGGUUGCUGGGCCGACACUGACGCUGAGGCGCGAAAGCCAGGGGAGCAAACGGG
rnacentral:rRNA from 1 species